GCCGGGAUCGAGUCCCGGUCUAGACUGUCCAAAGUAUUUUUUUUUAUUUUAUUGUCCGCGACAGUAGCGUAAAAUCACCGUAUUUCGACAGUAUAUUGAGCGUACAGUGUCGGUUAUAACGUCGUAGAUUCACUUGCGUAUGCACCGUAUAUAUUCGAUAAAUUUAUAGUAGACAUCGUUCACAACGGUAUCCGAUGCUGACUGACAAACCACUCGGUAAAAACGAACUUUAUACGGUGAAACGACCGUGAAACAACCGUCAAUCGACCGUGCUUUCACCGUGUCGCCGAAACCGCCAGGGACUGAUAAAAAUUAGCA